UGAACGCUGGCGGCGUGCCUACUACAUGCACGUCGAGCGAACGGACGAGAAGCUUGCUUCUCUGAUGUUAGCGGCGGACGGGUGAGUAACACGUGGAUAACCUACCUAUAAGACUGGGAUAACUUCGGGAAACCGUAGCUAAUACCGGAUAAUAUUUUGAACCGCAUGGUUCACAAGUGAAAGACGGUCUUGCUGUCACUUAUAGAUUGAUCCGCGCUGCAUUAGCUAGUUGGUAAGGUAACGGCUUACCAAGGCAACGAUGCAUAGCCGACCUGAGAGGGUGAUCGGCCACACGGGAACUGAGACACGGUCCAGACUCCUACGGGAGGCAGCAGUAGGGAAUCUUCCGCAAUGGGCGAAAGCCUGACGGAGCAACGCCGCGUGAGUGAUGAAGGUCUUCGGAUCGUAAAACUAUGUUAUUAGGGAAGAACAUAUGUGUAAGUAACUGUGCACAUCUUGACGGUACCUAAUCAGAAAGCCACGGCUAACUACGUG
rnacentral:rRNA from 1 species